rnacentral:ncRNA from 2 species
GCCAAGUUUCAAGGAAGGUGCAAUUCCUUACUGGCGGUAGCGCCAUACGCCCCAAGGCGGAUCAAGGCGGAGCCCGCAACCCGCAUGCAGCGGUGGAUCUGGUCGGAGUCCAGAGCCAACGGUCAUAGUCCGGAUGGAAGAAACAGGAG